UGCCUAACACAUGCAAGUCGAACGGAGUAAGAGAGAAGCUUGCUUAGCUCUUACUUAGUGGCGGACGGGUGAGUAACGCGUGAGUAACCUGCCUUUCAGAGGGGGAUAACGUUCUGAAAAGAACGCUAAUACCGCAUGAUAUAUUGGGGUCGCAUGGCCUUGGUAUCAAAGGAGCAAUCCGCUGAAAGAUGGACUCGCGUCCGAUUAGCCAGUUGGCGGGGUAAAGGCCCACCAAAGCGACGAUCGGUAGCCGGGUUGAGAGACUGAACGGCCACAUUGGGACUGAGACACGGCCCAGACUCCUACGGGAGGCAGCAGUGGGGGAUAUUGCACAAUGGAGGAAACUCUGAUGCAGCAAUGCCGCGUGAGGGAAGACGGUCUUCGGAUUGUAAACCUCUGUCCUUGGUGAAGAUAAUGACGGUAGCCAAGGAGGAAGCUCCGGCUAACUACGUGCCAGCAGCCGCGGUAAUACGUAGGGAGCAAGCGUUGUCCGGAUUUACUGGGUGUAAAGGGUGCGUAGGCGGCUUUUUAAGUCGGGCGUGAAAGCUGUGGGCUUAACCCACAAAUUGCGUUCGAAACUGGAAGGCUUGAGUGAAGUAGAGGUAGGCGGAAUUCCCGGUGUAGCGGUGAAAUGCGUAGAGAUCGGGAGGAACACCAGUGGCGAAGGCGGCCUACUGGGCUUUAACUGACGCUGAGGCACGAAAGCAUGGGUAGCAAACAGGAUUAGAUACCCUGGUAGUCCAUG
rnacentral:rRNA from 1 species